NNAUAUGGUCUUUCGGGGGGAGCCCGGGGAGACCAGGUCGUCUAAGGACGGGUGAACCGGCCCAGGCCGGAAACGGAGCAGGUCAAAGCCCGC
rnacentral:SRP_RNA from 1 species